UCGAAAACAUCGAUAUUCAUUUGCCAUCACUAACUGUUCCCGCCUCACCUCACGCUUCUACACAAUCGUCUUCCGAAGACCAGGAUUUACCUAGGCUACCUGUAAAUAAGUUAAGGGAAACCGAAUCCUUAAAAUGAACAAGGUGUAUGUUGGAAAUUUGGGGACCUUUGCUUCAAAACAUGAAUUGGAGUCCGCUUUUGCCAAGUAUGGUCCUUUGAGUAGUGUAUGGAUUGCCAGAAAUCCUCCUGGCUUUGCUUUUAUCGAGUUUGAGGAUCCAAGAGAUGCGGAAGACGCUGUUCGUGGACUGGAUGGAACCCGUUUGUGUGGAACCAGAGUUCGAGUGGAGAUGUCAAACGGUCGCAAAAAGUCUGAGGGUGGAUCUAGGCGACCCAGGGAUCUUAGAACCUGUAUCUUGACACUACGGGCAACUUGAAGGCCAAACCCAAGUAGGGAGGCCACUCAAUAAUGCCCUCAAUCUUCCCUUCAGGGUCAACUUUCCCCUUCAGGGCGCACCUCACCCUUCGUGGGACAACGCGGGAUUUUUCACCUCGAUACAAAUUUUUUUCUUCCCGUCUGCCUGUCGGAAUACCCAAUCUCCCCUGCUCAACUAAACCCUCAAGCAGGUUUUCCGUCGUCCGUGCUAGCUGAACGUGUUCACACUUGACUCAAUCAAACUUGAUCACAUGUGAAGAUGUGUUCAUCAAAGACAUCUCUACUGAAUAUUCCAUAUUUUUGUAUUGCUUUCAAAUGUAUACACCCUUCCCACCAAACAUGCAUUGGUCUCGUUCUCGCUCGCCGCCACCACGACGUCGCUCAGUUUCCCGUUCUCGUUCUCGCUCUCUGUCACGCAUCCCUCGGAGGAAAGUCCCCUCCAGAUCUCCUUCACGAGAAAGGCGUUACUAACGUAUUGGG